rnacentral:rRNA from 1 species
UACGUAGGGUGCAAGCGUUGUCCGGAAUCAUUGGGCGUAAAGGGCUCGUAGGCGGCGUGUCGCGUCGGGAGUGAAAGCCCGUUGCUUAACGGCGGGUUGGCUUUCGGUACGGGCAUGCUGGAGUGCGGCAGGGGAGACUGGAAUUCCUGGUGUAGCGGUGGAAUGCGCAGAUAUCAGGAGGAACACCGGUGGCGAAGGCGGGUCUCUGGGCCGUUACUGACGCUGAGGAGCGAAAGCGUGGGGAGCGAACAGG